rnacentral:rRNA from 1 species
AUAUUAAUAAGCGGAGGAAAAGAAACUAACAAGGAUUCCCUCAGUAGCGGCGAGCGAAGCGGGAAGAGCCCAGCACCGAAUCCUUCGUUUGGAAACGUUUGGAACUGUGGUGUUUGAGUCGAACCACGACGUCGAUCUUCUGCGCCUGCGUCCCUCUGAUUGGGGCUUUGCCCAUAGCGGGUGUCAGGCCUCUAGGGCGCGGAAGGUCUUCGUUAGAUUCGAUUCCUGAGUCGGGUUGUUUGAGAUUGCAGCCCAAAGUGGGUGGUAAACUCCAUCUAAGGCUAAAUAUUACCACGAGUCCGAUAGCGAACAAGUACCGUGAGGGAAAGUUGAAAAGAACUUUGAAGAGAGAGUUCAACAGUACGUGAAACCGUUUAGAGGUAAACGGACGGGAACGCUGUGCCCGCCGUUCGAAUUCAAUCCGUCGGUCGGUGUGGGUCGGAUCUCUUGGAUUUCGUUUGCGAAAGCGAGAGGUUUGAUCAAACGUCGGCGACGGGUGCACUUUCGAGCGGUGGGGCGCCACGACCGGUUCGGAGGCGAUCAAAAACUGCCUAGGAUGGUGUCCAUUGCUUCGGCGUUGGAUUUAGCCUGGGCUUGUCUGCGACUCGCUUCCGGAUCGAGGAAGACCGUGCGCGGCCCUUCUUCGGACCGUUCGAUUGUGGGAGCGUUCGACCUGAGAGGACUGCUCGUCAGUGCUUUCUAACUGCGUUUCCAUACGUCGGGCGAAUUCGGAGUUGGGCUUGGGGUCAGUGGCUAAUCGGUCGUCACCCCGUCCGACCCGUCUUGAAACACGGACCAAGGAGUCUAACACAUGCGCGAGUCGCAGGGUUGUACGAAACUCGAAGGCGUAACUAAAGUGAAGAUCUUCGGAUCUAGGUGAGAUCCCGAAACCAGAAAUGGCGACGGGCGCACCACCGGCCUGUCUCGGUCGCGACGUCGACGAGGCGGAGCAAGAGCGUAUGCGUUGGGACCCGAAAGAUGGUGAACUAUGCCUGAGCAGGAUGAAGCCAGAAGAAAUUCUGGUGGAGGUCCGCAGCGAUUCUGACGUGCAAAUCGAUCGUCAAACUUGGGUAUAGGGGCGAAAGACUAAUCGAACCAUCUAGUAGCUGGUUCCUGUCGAAGUUUCCCUCAGGAUAGCUGGCGCUCAUUGAGCAGUUUUAUCCGGUAAAGCGAAUGAUUAGAGGCAUUGGGGACGUACAGACCUCAACCUAUUCUCAAACUUUAAAUGGGUAAGACGUCCGACUCACUUGAUUGGAGUCGGGCAAACGAAUGCGAGUGCCAAGUGGGCCAUUUUUGGUAAGCAGAACUGGCGAUGCGGGAUGAACCGAACGUUCGGUUAAGGCGCCUAAUACUGACGCUCAUGAGAUACCAGAAAAGGUGUUGGUUGAUAUAGACAGCAGGACGGUGGCCAUGGAAGUCGGAAU